ACUUGUGCUCUUCCCACCUCUUCUCCAUAGCACGGGCACAACCUCGGCAAAGCCGCGGGGGUGGUGAGAUGUGGGAGCCAGGAGCUCAUAGAACAAGGCUUCCCACGCUGCGGCGGGGGAGGGUCCCAGACCGCUAGGCUAUUGCCAUCACCUUGGGGACGCUUCAGGAAAAAGGAGAUGCACCAAUCAGCACUCUCACGUGUGUACUGAAAAGAC